AGCACUGGACAGCACCUUCUCUCUAGCUUAUCUUUCUGGGGAUUUGUUAUUGUUGGCUGUUGUCUCAUUUACAUGCAUGUCCACGCGAUCCCUCUCUGUGAAGUGUUUACUGGAGCACUUCAUUGAUUCACUAGCCUUUGGAGCUCCAAAUGUUCCUUCUCGUGGGGUUUAUUUGGCCGGGUGAGCAGUCCGAAGCUCAUGCGUCAUUAAAAAUAAAUGGCGAAAAAUGAUAGGGGAGCACGCACUGGAUCGCAAGAUUAAUGAGAAAGCUCUCUCGGGCUACUGUUUACGCGAAGUCUGAAUUAAACACACUUAAAAGACGAAGUCAAUUCGUUUCACCACAAAUGCCAGAUAUUUCACGUGAGAAAACUGUUUUUUCUUAAACGUGAAUGAAAGACACGGGCGCGCGCAGGGAGUCUGACACAACUGUUUCCUGAGUCAACGGGAUCGGGCUGCUAUAUCAGGGCCGUCGCAAAGGGAUGACUGGAACGGAUCCAAAGCGUAACGGAUAUUUCUAAUCGGUUCUCUUGGACCUGUAAAGCUGGACUGUGAAUAAUGA